rnacentral:lncRNA from 1 species
CUCCGUCCCCUUUAGGGGAAGAAGGGUAACACCCCUCCGUCUCCGUCCCCUUUAGGGGGAAGAAGGGUAACACCGUAGGGGAGUUCUUCCCCUAAAGGGGAACCCCUUUAGUUCGUCCCCUUUAGGGGAACCAAAGGGGUUCCCCUUCGGGGAUGAACUAAAGGGGUGUUCCCCUUCUUCCCCUAAAGGGGACGGAGACGAAGGGGAAGAGCACUAAAGUGUUCCCCUUUGGGGAAGACGUAGGGGAAGAACAAGAAGGGGGAAAACAAAGGGACAACCAGAGGGGACAAGGGGACAAGUGAUUCCCCUUCGGUUAUCGUCCCCUAAAGUUCUUCUUCUUCUUCCCCUUUAGGGGAACUAAAGGGGAAGAAGAAGAACUUUAGGGGAUGAACCAAAGGGGAACCCAAAGGGACACCAAACUCUUAGAGCCCAAAGGGGCAAGGAAAGGGGCUUCGCCCUGGUUUACCAACAAACUCGUAGGCUUCCCAAACCAGAGCGCCAGCUAAGACGACGUAAGAGCUACUAGUUUCUAUAUAGUCACGAGAUAAACUACUAACAACUAGAACGUACCUCCGGCAUGCAGGUGCGGUUUACGCGCAUGUCUACAUUGGAGUUCUUGCACUUACAUAACGUAGUUUCUUCGGGAAAUAAACUACAAGUAGAUUCCCGCUGUAAAUCACAUUUUGUGACAGUUGUGUUGUAUCUGUGUUGUAUCGAAAAAAAAAUUUUUUGGGUUUCGCUCGGCGUUGUUAUAAGUCCGUCUACACAAUUAAGCGCUAACGGCUUGGCGUUACACGUACGCUUGAAUAUAAGGAGCUUCCGUUCUUGGUCUUGUGGCUUUUCAUCCCCUUUAGUUCCCCUAAAGGGGAUGAGUUCAUCCCCUAAAGGGGAACUAAAGGGGAUGAAAAGCUAUACACAUACGUUUGGCCAAAAUACUCGUGUCUUUGUUGUGAGGGAGCCGUUCGAUGCUUUCGGCCAACUAACGACCGAAUACUAAACAAGUUUAACAUAACUACGCUUCACGGGGGGAGUCAAAUAAAUAAAUAAAUAAAUAAAUAAAUAAAUAAAUAAAUAAAUAAAUAAAUAAAUAAAUAAAUAAAUAAAUAAAUAAAUAAAUAAAUAAAUAAAUAAAUAAAUAAAUAAAUAAAUAAAUAAAUAAUUGCCCUUCCCCCCCCCCCUAAUAAAAAGUUUUUUUAGAUUAAAUAUUUUUUUUUAAAAAAAUUUUUUUAAAAAAAUUAUUAUUUAACCUAAUGUGUAAAAAAUUAAAUUUUUAAAAAUCUUGUUUUAUUGUUUAUAUAAAUCUUGUUUUAAAAAUUUGACACUAAAAAAGAUAAAUUUCUAAAGAAUGGGGGUUAACAAGUAAUUUAUAUUAGCUAAGUUUGAUGAAACCAAUUUCUAAAAAACUUUCGAGCACGUUAACGCUAGAUGUGGAGCACCGGAGUACGUUUUCAAUUUUUAUUCGUCAAAACUUUAUAGUUGACCAUCCGGUCAUUGAGCACGCCCUUUGGGCUAGCUUUGGUGCUAUGCACGUGUAAUAGAAAGUGCCUACGUACCUGAUAUAUUUGAUAUAUUUGUCACAAUGUAACAAUGUAACAUAUAACUUUACGAAGCUGCUUGUCUUGUGGCCAAGCGUAUGCAUCAUGCCACAAGACACAAAGUCUUGUGUCUUGUGGUUGAGGCUUUGCCUCUAAUAUUGGCUUUGCCAAUCCCGAAGGAAGAGGUAUUUUGCUGGAGCCAACGUUAAGCCUAGUUGUAGCUAAAUCUACCACGUUAGAUUCAGCUACUCAUUAAACUACAUUUCACAAGACCUUGUGGAACAUCGUAACUCACUGCGUAUAACUUAGGCGCAGCCUACAAUGCUUUUAGCUAGUUGUGCAAAUGGCUUCCGUUGACGCAUUCAUCCCCUAAAGGGUAACCGAAGGGGUUCCCCUUUAGGGGACGAAAACGAAGGGGUUCCCCUUCGGGGAAGCGUUUGAGCUAUUUUAUACAGGCUACAGCCGGUUAACAUUUUUCAAUUUUUGUGAUUUUCAAAGUUUUAGACAAGUUAAAAGUAGACGUAAUAUUGAUCUGCAGUUGUCAAAGUUAACAAAAAGAUCAGUAGUAAUUACAUUAAAUUAUAGUAUAAUUAUAAUUCAAAGAAGGCUUAUGACACAAAAUAACAUUUUAAUAAGACGUUAUAUUAUUGUAGGUGAACGAAGACUAAGUAAUUAUUGGUGGGCUAUUGUUAUUUUUUUAGGUUCAUGUGGUUUUUUAGCUACAGGACUUUGCUCUUAUUUAGGAAUUCCUAACUGG